rnacentral:rRNA from 1 species
UACGUAGGGUGCAAGCGUUGUCCGGAAUUAUUGGGCGUAAAGAGCUUGUAGGCGGUUUGUCGCGUCUGCUGUGAAAUUUCGGGGCUCAACCCCGAACUUGCAGUGGGUACGGGCAGACUAGAGUGUGGUAGGGGAGACUGGAAUUCCUGGUGUAGCGGUGAAAUGCGUAGAUAUUGGGAGGAACACCAGUGGCGAAGGCGGCUCGCUGGACCGGUUCUGACGCUGAGGCGCGAAAGCGUGGGGAGCAAACGGG